AUUGAACGCUGGCGGCAGGCCUAACACAUGCAAGUCGAGCGGAGCAGCGGACGGGUACGUAAUGCCUAUGAAUCUGCCUGUUAGUGAGGGAUAACGUCCGGUAACGGGCGCUAAUCCCACUUCCUCUCACAUUAGCCUGGGUCGGAUUAGCUAUUUGUUGGGGUAAAGGCCUACCAAGGCGACGAUCCGUAACUGGUCUGAGAGGAUGAUCAGUCACACUGGAACUGAGACACGGUCCAGACUCCUACGGGAGGCAGCAGUGGGGAAUAUUGGACAAUGGGCGAAAGCCUGAUCCAGCCAUGCCGCGUGUGUGAAGAAGGCCUUCGGAUUGUAAAGCACUUUAAGUUGGGAGGCGUUACCAACAGAAGAAGCACCGGCUAACUUCGUGCCAGCAGCCGCGGUAAUUC
rnacentral:rRNA from 1 species